rnacentral:rRNA from 1 species
UACGGAGGGUGCAAGCGUUAUCCGGAUUCACUGGGUUUAAAGGGUGCGUAGGUGGGCAGGUAAGUCAGUGGUGAAAUCUCUGGGCUUAACUUGGAAACUGCCAUUGAUACUAUCGAUCUUGAAUACUGUGGAGGUCAGCGGAAUAUGUCAUGUAGCGGUGAAAUGCUUAGAUAUGACAUAGAACACCAAUUGCGAAGGCAGCUGGCUACACAAAUAUUGACACUGAGGCACGAAAGCGUGGGGAUCAAACAGG